CUGGGAUUAACCCAGGAAUGGACUUAGUAUGUUCUCAGUUAUAAACAAUUUCAGCUUUGAUAGACUUUGAAAUAAGAAUGCUGUGGCCAUUAGAAGAAUGGACAACCUCCUUCUUGACAAGUUUUUCACAUUUCUGCAAAUAACAUUUUCAUUCUCCCAAAUUCAAUUUUCACUCCUUCAUUUUCUGUACUGCUUUGCAUAGGAAGAGAUAGCUGUUAAAGAUCAUUCUACUUGGAGCCACUCUUAUGACCACAGGUGUAUAAACAGGACAGUGAGGGCAGUUCACCUGUGGUUUGGAAGCAUCUACCUUAACUAAACGUCACCACAAUGUGUUG